GUUGAACGCUGGCGGCGUGCCUAAUACAUGCAAGUCGAGCGAAAAGAUGAGGAGCUUGCUCCUCUGACGUUAGUGGCGGAUGGGUGAGUAAGACGUGGAUAACCUACCUAUACUACUGGGAUGACUUCGUGAAACCGGAGCUAAUACGGGAUAGUAUAUUGAACCGCAUGGUUCAAUAGUGGAAGACGGUUUUGCUGUCACUUAUAGAUGGAUCCGCGCCGCAUUAGCUAGUUGGUAAGGUAACGGCUUACCAAGGCAACGAUGCGUAGCCGACCUGAGAGGGUGACCGGCCACACUGGAACUGAGACACGGUCCAGACUCCUACGGGAGGCAGCAGUAGGGAAUCUUCCGCAAUGGGCGAAAGCCUGACGGAGCAACGCCGCGUGAGUGAUGAAGGUCUUCGGAUCGUAAAACUCUGUUAUUAGGGAAGAACAAAUGUGUAAGUAACUAUGCACGUCUUGACGGUACCUAAUCAGAAAGCCACGGCUAACUACGUG
rnacentral:rRNA from 1 species